UGGGGAAUUUUGGACAAUGGGCGCAGGCCUGAUCCAGCCAUUCCGCGUGCAGGACGAAGGCCUUCGGGUUGUAAACUGCUUUUGUACGGAACGAAAAGCCCUUCUCUAAUACAGAGGGGUCAUGACGGUACCGUAAGAAUAAGCACCGGCUAACUACGUGCCAGCAGCCGCGGUAAUACGUAGGGUGCAAGCGUUAAUCGGAAUUACUGGGCGUAAAGCGUGCGCAGGCGGUUUUGUAAGACAGAUGUGAAAUCCCCGGGCUCAACCUGGGAACUGCAUUUGUGACUGCAUAGCUAGAGUACGGUAGAGGGGGAUGGAAUUCCGCGUGUAGCAGUGAAAUGCGUAGAUAUGCGGAGGAACACCGAUGGCGAAGGCAGCCCACUAAGCAAUGAUUGACGCUGAGGCACGAAAGCGUGGGGAUCAAACA
rnacentral:rRNA from 1 species